rnacentral:rRNA from 1 species
UACCAGCACCCCGAGUGGUCGGGACGUUUAUUGGGCCUAAAACAUCCGUAGCCGGUUCUACAAGUCUUCCGUUAAAUCCAACUGCUUAACAGGUGGGCUGCGGAAGAUACUAUAGAGCUAGGAGGCGGGAGAGGCAAGCGGUACUCGAUGGGUAGGGGUAAAAUCCGUUGAUCCAUUGAAGACCACCAGUGGCGAAGGCGGCUUGCCAGAACGCGCUCGACGGUGAGGGAUGAAAGCUGGGGGAGCAAACCGG